AUAAAAGCAAAAAAUAAAGGUAGUUUGAGAGCGAAUGAUAUGACAAAGUCUUAAACAUAAGGAAUGCACAACAAGUGUUCACGACUUUACUGUACCCACCACAGGCUCACACCUCCGCCGUCUGCUGCAGCACAGACAGACGGACCACGCGUGUCUGCCAGAGCUCAGAAAGAGGAAUUGCCCUGGUAGCAGAAUCCAUUCCGUGCUUUCAAAAAGGAUUACUGCCUGCUGCUGAUGAUGAUUGAAAAUCGAGAUUAUGGAAUGAUCCCCAAAUCUUUAAGUUAUUUAUGGUCAAGACAGUUUUACAGAAUUUACAGAUUCCUUCUGUCCUUCCCACCCCAAUCCUGGUACACUGGGCAGCCAAUAACAGAAAAGUAUUUUGGGGAUACGUGGUGAAAUGUGGUGAAAUCCUUGAAGCAAACAAGUUCUUCGGGGGUUUCUCUAGUUUCCAUCUUGUGUGUCCUUGUCCAGAAAAGUAUUCCAGACAGAAUAUUUUUUGUGCAUUUUCUUAUAUUAGGUCAAUGACUCUUAACUAGUGCUAAUACCUGAAGACGUUUCCCUCCCUUCCCCC